rnacentral:rRNA from 1 species
GCUUAGAGUUUGAUCCUGGCUCAGAACGAACGCUGGCGGCAGGCCUAACACAUGCAAGUCGAACGCGUCCUUCGGGACGAGUGGCAGACGGGUGAGUAACGCGUGGGAACGUGGCCCAAGGUUCGGAAUAACUCGGGGAAACUCGAGCUAAUACCGAAUGUGCCCUUUUGGGGAAAGAUUUAUCGCCUUGGGAUCGGCCCGCGUAGGAUUAGCUUGUUGGUGAGGUAACGGCUCACCAAGGCUACGAUCUUUAGCUGGUCUGAGAGGACGACCAGCCACACUGGAACUGAGACACGGUCCAGACUCCUACGGGAGGCAGCAGUGGGGAAUCUUGGACAAUGGGCGCAAGCCUGAUCCAGCCAUGCCGCGUGGGUGAAGAAGGCCUUAGGGUUGUAAAGCCCUUUCGGUGGUGAAGAUAAUGACGGUAACCACUAAAGAAGCCCCGGCUAACUUCGUGCCAGCAGCCGCGGUAAUACGAAGGGGGCUAGCGUUGUUCGGAAUUACUGGGCGUAAAGCGCGCGUAGGCGGACAGGUCAGUCAGAGGUGAAAUCCCGGAGCUCAACUCCGGAACUGCCUUUGAUACUGCCUGUCUUGAGACCGGGAGAGGAGAGUGGAAUUCCCAGUGUAGAGGUGAAAUUCGUAGAUAUUGGGAAGAACACCCGUGGCGAAGGCGGCUCUCUGGCCCGGUUCUGACGCUGAGGUGCGACAGCGUGGGGAGCAAACAGGAUUAGAUACCCUGGUAGUCCACGCCGUAAACGAUGAAUGCUAGUUGUCGGGGAGCUUUGCUCUUCGGUGACGCCGCUAACGCAUUAAGCAUUCCGCCUGGGGAGUACGGCCGCAAGGUUAAAACUCAAAGGAAUUGACGGGGGCCCG